AUUGAACGCUGGCGGCAGGCCUAACACAUGCAAGUCGAGCGGAUGACGGGAGCUUGCUCCUUGAUUCAGCGGCGGACGGGUGAGUAAUGCCUAGGAAUCUGCCUGGUAGUGGGGGACAACGUUUCGAAAGGAACGCUAAUACCGCAUACGUCCUACGGGAGAAAGCAGGGGACCUUCGGGCCUUGCGCUAUCAGAUGAGCCUAGGUCGGAUUAGCUAGUUGGUGGGGUAAUGGCUCACCAAGGCGACGAUCCGUAACUGGUCUGAGAGGAUGAUCAGUCACACUGGAACUGAGACACGGUCCAGACUCCUACGGGAGGCAGCAGUGGGGAAUAUUGGACAAUGGGCGAAAGCCUGAUCCAGCCAUGCCGCGUGUGUGAAGAAGGUCUUCGGAUUGUAAAGCACUUUAAGUUGGGAGGAAGGGCAGUAAGUUAAUACCUUGCUGUUUUGACGUUACCGACAGAAUAAGCACCGGCUAACUCUGUGCCAGCCGCCGCGGUAAAAC
rnacentral:rRNA from 1 species